rnacentral:lncRNA from 1 species
CCUAAAUGAGCUGAUUCUCAUCAAAGCCGAGAAGCAUAGUCAGGUGUGGUGGCUCACGCCUGUAAUCCCAGCACAUUCAGAGGCCAAGGUGGACGAGCCACUUGAGGCCAGGAGUUCGAGGCCAGCCUGGCCAACAUGGAGAAACCUUGUCUCUAAAAAAUAAAAGAAUAAAGAAGCAGCAGAACUUUGUAGAGUCCCUCCAGGAAGCAGUGCCACGAGGCCUUGGGGCUGCUUACUACAACUGAAGGAAGUGUAAGCGACCGCCUCUCUGAGACAGCCAGAGAGGAAGUCUCAUUAGGUUGCCCAGACUGAUCUUGAAUCCCUGGACUCCAGCAAUCCACCUGCCUCGGCCUCCCAAAGUGCUUGGAUUAUGCGUGUGAGCCGUUGCACCUGCCACAUACCUGAAUUCUUUAUUGAGUGGAAAAUAUGGCUGACCACAACGCCCAGAUUUUAUAGACAGUAGUUCCACUGCCUUUGGGAAUCCAGUUCUUGUUCCCAAUUUCAGGUAUUAAUAUCCUAGGGAAUUCUCUGAUGUGCUUUUGGGUUUACCGGCCUCCCAUGGACCAUUCAUGUGUAGGAGGCAUGAAGGCCAGGGCACGUGAAAGCAUGCCUGCCGCCCUGGACACUGUUCAGCAGGUCCCAGAAGGAGCCUAUGUUUACAGAGUAAGAGGAGAGGCUGACCAGCAAACAGAAGGGUCUGAUUCAUCCCCAAAUCACGAGACGAGCAAGGUGAGAGCAUUCUCCACUGUUCCCCUUUGUUGCAUCUCUCUACCUCAUGCCUCUCCAGCUCCUGUUUGCCUUCAGGCCAUUCUCACAGGCAAUGCUGAGUGGAAUCAACUUCCAGACAUAAGGCAUAGAAGCCACACUACGUGUGGGUUGCUUGCAUUGAUAGAAAAAUUUCCAGAAAGCUGCUGGCCAUCUCUUGUGUUAUAGAGAGAAAGAAAUCUCUUCAUCUCACGUAUAAGGCCAAAAUGGGAG